rnacentral:misc_RNA from 1 species
AAGUCGUAACAAGGUUUCCGUAGGUGAACCUGCGGAAGGAUCAUUAAAGAGAGAUAUUUUUUUUGGAAACUUGAAAAAUAGUUCCCAAAAAAACCCCCUCCCAACCCUUUUGUCAAUUAAAAAAAAUCUUGUUUUGUUGCUUUGGCGGGCAAGGAAAAAAAUUGGAAUACAAAAAGAUUAGUGGAUUAGUUAGUUGGGGUCCCAACUGAUUUUUCCCCCUAAAUUUUUUGACCCGAUUUUUUUCCCCGCCAAAAGUACAACCCAUUUAAAAUUCGUUGAACCAAAAAAUCAAAAAGUCUGAAUAAUUAUAAAAAUUUUAAAAGUCAAAAAACUUUCAACAACGGAUCUCUUGGUUCUG